rnacentral:hammerhead_ribozyme from 1 species
AUCCAGCUGACGAGUCCCGAAUAGGACGAAACGUAAGUCCUGGAU